rnacentral:rRNA from 1 species
UACGGGAGGCAGCAGGGGGAAUAUUGCACAAUGGGCGCAAGCCUGAUGCAGCCAUGCCGCGUGUAUGAAAAAGGCCUUCGGGUUGUAAAGUACUUUCAGUCGUGAGGAAGGUGUUAAGGUUAAUAACCUUAGCAAUUGACGUUAGCGACAGAAGAAGCACCGGCUAACUCCGUGCCAGCAGCCGCGGUAAUACGGAGGGUGCGAGCGUUAAUCGGAAUUACUGGGCGUAAAGGCACGCAGGCGGUUAAUUAAGUUGGAUGUGAAAUCCCCGGGCUUAACCUGGGAAUGGCAUUCAAGACUGGUUAGCUAGAGUCUUGUAGAGGGGGUAGAAUUCCAUGUGUAGCGGUGAAAUGCGUAGAGAUGUGGAGGAUACCGGUGGCGAAGGCGGCCCCUGGACAAAGACUGACGCUCAUGUGCGAAAGCGUGGGGAGCAAACAGGGAUUAGAUACC